rnacentral:lncRNA from 1 species
UUUCAUAACCAUUCAGAGUAUCACCAAAACAGAGACUGUCUUCUGCCCCUGAAUGAGCAUGAGAAAAGCCUUUCCUAGACAACCAUUGCACCUGUCUCCUAACAUCCAUUAAAAGGUCACACUCAAUGGUUAUAUCAGGCUGCAAUAUAAGGCUGAGUACUUAUCUAUGCCAAGCUGAGGCCAGCUAUAACCAACCUGACUCAGCAGCAGGAGAGUGACUGUAUGCUCUUCUAGGACUUGGAGAACAUUAUUACACUUCCUAUCCAUGGAAAUAUCUAACAGAUGCCAUGUCUUCUCUGAGAAGGCUUUCUACAGAAAUCAUUUGACAGAACCUGGAGUCAUCUUUGGUUGUCAUGAUGGGAGGAUGCAGGAGGAUGGAAGGAGUUAUGUGAUCUGUACCUGGCGUGAAGAUAACAAGGAUAUUGAUACACAGCACAGCACAGCCCACUCACUGAACAUAUCCCUACCCUCCCCAAGCCAGCAGUAACAAGGUUGAAAAACCCUGAGGUACAACGUAAAUAUAUGCAAUUUCUGGGGAGACUGGCAGUCCUUUCAUAUCUACUUGGUCUGUUAGAUGGGAAUCCAAUUUGAAGAUAUUUGAUAAGGACUAUGAUCUGUCACCUGG